UAUCCAAACGAUGGAAAUGGGAAGGGGAGGAAGAAGGAGGAGGGCCACGGGAGGAACAGCCGGCACAGCGGGACAGCACCGAAAAACAGAGAAAGAAAGACGCACUUAUUAGAAUAUGAGCGAGAAAGGAGCGUGAUUGGAAUUUCAAUUAGCUGCUCAGGGCUGUAAACAAGAAAGAGCCGUGAACCGCCAGGCAAACACAAGAAUAUCUUAUAUCCCAGCAAACAGCGGACCAAUCGGCAACCGGAGCUGCACCGAGUGGCUGAUUAGCAGUCAGAGCGGCCGGUUCAUUACCCAGGUGAACUGGUUAGUUUGAAACACAGCCAAACAGAAAGCAGAUGUGAACGCAGCUCAGCGUGUUAUUGGAUGAUGGACUGUGCUUCCUGAAGGACGAGGCGACUGAAUACAAAAGAAUGGAAGCAACAUGGCUGCAGCUGACACAAAAUCAUCUCACCCAAAGUCUGCGUGUCCUCCCUCACUACAUCUGAGAAGCUUCCCGAGAUCUUCCUGGGUUUUUUCCCCUCCUUCCUCUUCUGUACAUGUCCAAACCACAUGAGCUGACCAACUGAUAUAUACUCAUUUCAAAAGUUUUAGACACAAAAAUGGUGCAUCAAUCUUUCUCUAUAAUAAUCUGCAAAGAAACGUGGAGUAAUGUAUGCCGUGUCUGAAUUGAUCUGCAUUGGACAACAUGGAAGUUUGUUGCUCUUCCAAACGAUUUCAUAGGGUUUAUCGCUCUGUAUGAAGUCGAUAUCUUUUCGCUCUGGUGCUGUUGGUUGAGCAACUUUGGGCUCUGGCAAAUUGUGUGUGGCAUUUUUCAAUACUUUUUGACAGUUCUCUGCUAAAUGAUUAAUGGCAUAACAGGAAAAAAAAGAAAAGGAAGCCAUAUAGAAGAGAAACAUGUUGGGCCUGUUUUACUGCUUCACGCUGCGCUCGUCGAAAUGAAAAAAAAAAGCAACUUAUAGCAUCAAUAGAGGACAUAUUUUCCCUGCGAUGGACGGAAUAACAAAAGCAAAUUUAAAUUUUAAUAAUGAAGCUUUGAACACUCGACCCCUACAAAGCAAGAAUUUUUUGAAGGACAAAACAUGGCAGGACUAAAGUUUGUGUAGCUUCUCAUUGACCGUCUGCGUCAUUAAUGUCUUGAAGAGAAGCAGCUGUUCAACGUUUAACGCCAAAGUUAACAAAAUGUUAUGAAGUGUUGCUCAAACAGAGCGGCGGGGGGUUGAUUUCCCUUAUGUUAGCAACUCACGACCACCUGCCAUUAAUUAGAGGCCAUUAAUUUUCUUGAUUAAUCACGUCGGUUUUAAAAUAUCACAAUGAAUAAAUAGUUUGUGAGAAUUCAAUAUGUUGGUUUUGAGCAAACAUAAAUCCAAUGAGACGUAACUCCGAAGAACCACCUGUGUUUGCUGACCAGGGAGAGCUCACCUGUCAACUGAACUUCUUUGGAUUCAUUUUGAAAAGAUUUAUUUCAUUUGGGCAUUUCAGAAACUCCCUCUUCCUUAAAAGCACUAACAUUAACAGGCUCAAUCUGCCAGCAGAGACAGCACGAGGUACGAGGGAGGACCUGCUGCUGAUUGGCCAAAAUGUAAUCCGCGGAUGUGACAGGCAGUUUCCGUGACGCACACAUGCUACACACAAAGCAGUGUACUCGUCCUCUCCACACGUACUCACACAUUCAUCGUGAAGUAUUUGAUAAGCAUGUUAUGCAGCCUUCCCAUAAUAACCUGUGUAAGUAGAGGUGACAUAAUAACGGCCAUUUGUCAAAGCUAAUGAUUCCUGCUUGUCAACGUCUCAGCUGCUGUCACUUUAACGGAUGGCCUCGGCCCGCUCGGCUGGUGACACCAAAGGUUACGCCGCUGUUUGCUGGUUAAUAAUGAGAGCUGACGCUGCUGCUGAUGGGAGAUGAACGAGCUGUGUACUUCCACCGUCCCGGCCUCUUUUUCUCCUGACGGAUCGUCCUCUGGAUUUAUACGGCUCAUCUGGAAGAGCUUCAUUGUGCUUUGAUUUGGGUCUCGCCGGGCGACGCUCGCCGCUUUACUGCGCGACUCACCAGUCAGUUGUUAGCUAGGUCUCAGAAGAGCGCUGGUCCAAGCCAGUCACUGUUCCACACAGAUCUGUUACACGAGUCGUUUUUCUCCACGCUAUGAGAUAAAUGAGUUACUACUUCUGUUCCAGAUGACAGGAUUUAAACAUCUGCUGCCUCCAACAAUAAAAGAGAUUAUUUUUGUCAUUCUAGAUUUAAUCGAUCUUAACAAUUAGCACUUUUUCAAACGCCCGUGGGUGCUUAUUUCUUCAGUAAAGCCUUUAAUGACAGCCAUUAUCCUGAUUCAGUUUGGUACCAUGGAAACAUUCCUCCCCUUGGGGAUUUGACUCUGUUGACAGAUUUUGUUUCUUCUCUGGCAGCAAAAUAUAUAUAUGGGUCUGAUGAACUUGAAGCAUUUUAAAUUUGAAG